UACGUAGGGUCCGAGCGUUGUCCGGAAUUAUUGGGCGUAAAGAGCUCGUAGGCGGUUUGUCACGUCUGCUGUGAAAUCCCGAGGCUCAACCUCGGGCCUGCAGUGGGUACGGGCAGACUAGAGGUAGGCAGGGGAGAGCGGAACUCCUGGUGUAGCGGUGGAAUGCGCAGAUAUCAGGAAGAACACCGGUGGCGAAGGCGGCUCUCUGGGCCUUACCUGACGCUGAGGAGCGAAAGCGUGGGGAGCAAACAGG
rnacentral:rRNA from 1 species